rnacentral:rRNA from 1 species
AUUGAACGCUGGCGGCAUGCUUUACACAUGCAAGUCGAACGGUAACAGGCCGCAAGGUGCUGACGAGUGGCGAACGGGUGAGUAAUGCAUCGGAACGUGCCCAGUCGUGGGGGAUAACGCAGCGAAAGCUGUGCUAAUACCGCAUACGAUCUAUGGAUGAAAGCGGGGGACCGUAAGGCCUCGCGCGAGUGGAGCGGCCGAUGUCAGAUUAGGUAGUUGGUGGGGUAAAGGCCUACCAAGCCGACGAUCUGUAGCUGGUCUGAGAGGACGACCAGCCUCACUGGGACUGAGACACGGCCCAGACUCCUACGGGAGGCAGCAGUGGGGAAUUUUGGACAAUGGGCGCAAGCCUGAUCCAGCAAUGCCGCGUGCAGGAAGAAGGCCUUCGGGUUGUAAACUGCUUUUGUACGGAACGAAACGGUCUGGGUUAAUACCCUGGGCUAAUGACGGUACCGUAAGAAUAAGCACCGGCUAACUACGUACCAGCAGCAGCCGCCGUAA